UGAGCAUGGAGGUGCGGCAAUGUUUGCAUAGUUCAGCGAAUUUCAUCAUCAAAUGCGUCAUUGGAAAACUCAUGUUCAGUUGGAAGAUGAUUUGGUUGAGCAUAUGUGGGUUCAUGUUGGCAUAUAAUAGAUGUAUUGGUCUAUUUCAUUCAAGACAAUUUAAUUUCUAUUUGGCUUGUAAACUAUGAGAUACUUUUAUUCGGUUGUGAAACUAUGACAUAUUUUUAUUUGAG
rnacentral:lncRNA from 1 species